UACGUAGGGACCAAGCGUUGUUCGGAUUUACUGGGCGUAAAGGGCGCGUAGGCGGCGCGGUAAGUCACUUGUGAAAUCUCUGAGCUUAACUCAGAACGGCCAAGUGAUACUGCAGUGCUAGAGUGUGGAAGGGGCAAUCGGAAUUCUUGGUGUAGCGGUGAAAUGCGUAGAUAUCAAGAGGAACACCUGAGGUGAAGACGGGUUGCUGGGCCAACGCUGACGCUGAGGUGCGAAAGCGUGGGGAGCAAACAGG
rnacentral:rRNA from 1 species